CGCACCCCUAUUGUUAGUUGCCAUCAUUCAGUUUGGGCACUCUAGCGAGACUGCCGGUAAUAAACCGGAGGAAGGUGGGGAUGACGUCAAAUCAUCAUGCCCCUUAUGACCUGGGCUACACACGUGCUACAAUGGUUGGUACAACGAGUUGCGAGUCGGUGACGGCGAGCUAAUCUCUUAAAAGCCAAUCUCAGUUCGGAUUGUAGGCUGCAACUCGCCUACAUGAAGUCGGAAUCGCUAGUAAUCGCGGAUCAGCACGCCGCGGUGAACACGUUCCCGGGCCUU
rnacentral:rRNA from 1 species